CCUGAAGAAAGUAUGAGAAAUUGUUAUUGAGCUUAUUUACAAAGCACCAACAUUUUCACAGUUCUGUAAGAGACUUUUUGUGAUGAUAAAAAUGUUCCUAUUUACAGUAAUAUAAUAACUGAAGACUGCCAAGUAUAACCAGUUUGUUAAAUUCACAGUAACAGAAUGGGACCAAAGAACUGUGGCUUUUAUAAAGGAUAAUGUCAUUAGAAGUGAAUCAUCAGCCAGAAAAUAAAUCAUUAGACCAGUGUUUCCAAAUUGGUGUUCCAAGCUUUUAGGGCCACCCGAUCAGUAUCACUAAACAGGCCCGAUCAAGCACCGCGGUCGUUUAAGACCGCAACCGAACCCCUGUAGCAUGGAAUGCUGGAAAGAACUGACAGCCUGUUACAUCCUCCCAGACAGAGCACGCCGAGUGGGACGGGAAGAAUAAGCAGCCGUGAGGAUUGAGCAGCACACCAGCCUCAGCUAGUAG